CACUCACCGCCCUGAAUGCUAAUCUCUUUAGACACCCUGUUGAUCUUUCUCACUGGCAACCAGCAAAGGAGGCAGGACCGCAUUUACAUAUCAUGCCUCAACACCAUCUUUGAACAUGGAUCUCAAACUGGGAAUUAGAAAUGCCGGGUUCUCUCUCUAAUUGUUCUGCCACCUGGUAUGACGAUGCGUUGACACGGACUCACCAGGGAUGCUGAGCGCCUCCACUGAGCACUUGUAAAACACACUGUUGAAGACCCAGUUUGAAAACCAGCCCCACCGCCUGCCAGCAGCAUGACCUUGAGUAAUUGCUUACAUUCAGUUUCCUCUUAGGGUCUUUAGGACCACCACCAAGUGAUCAGCAUGGUGCCAGGAACACACGAUAGUGAAAACACUAUCAUAGUUCACAAACUGGGCCCCGGACACAGAGGGCAAGGGGAGAUGAAAGAAGGAGGCAGACCACUCCAGACUGGGACAACCUCACAAUGGAUUGUUGAAGAAGAAACUCUGCGGAACGAUGGAAAGAAUCCUUAGAUUAUUUUCCGCCUGUCUUGAGACCUACGGCUUUCUGUCCUACUCCUCCAUGCCUCCAUCAGUUGUACAGGAUGAAGGCAGAGUUUGCAACCCCCAGGAAGAAACGUGUCACCAUGAUGAAGAGCAACUUUGAACUCCACCUUGGCAGAAGUCUUCAGCAGACUACUGCACCCUUGAGCCUCAGUUUCAUCAGUGGUGAUAUGGGGCUAACAGUACCCACCCUAGAGGAUCAAGAUGACACACAGAAAGUGCCUAACUAUAGACACACAAAUAAGUCCUGGCUACGAGCAUGUCUAGCACAUUGUUUUGUUGGAGCCAAUUUCCUUUCUUCCAGUUUCACAUCACUAUGCGACUUGCCAAGUUCCACCCCAAACCCAUGGAUUAUCCCUGCUUCACUGGAUGGGAGCUUCAUCAUUUUGCUUGUUUGUUCACAUUCCCUUGGCUGAUGGUCAUGGGAUUGAAAGUCAAACGAUGUUGCUUCUGUUCCAGAUCCAAUUAUCAACUUACUGCGUGAGCACAGGAGAUUUUCUCUUCUGUAAAACUUGGGAGGCUGAAUGCUAGGUGACUCCAAAUUUCCCUUUCAGAGCUAAUUUUCUAUCCUAAACAGGAAAUCGAGAAAACCAAAUACCACACAGCCACAACACUCUCAGGCUUACAAAACACUUCCAUAUUCACUCC
rnacentral:lncRNA from 1 species